AAUAUUGUUUCCAAAGCCUCCAAUUCUAGCGUCCAACCUUGCCCAGGAAUUAGAAGGAUCAAUUCUUGUAUUAGUGGUGAUAGCUCUGCUGUAAGCUGAUGUUCUUCCCUUAACCUUGGUAGAAUUCCAGUGGGAAUUUGUCUAUUACAUCUGGGGGGACUGCUUGCUUUUUCUUCUCACUGAUCUGUUUUUCUUAUCAGCAUUUGCCAUGCACCAGCAAUGUUAUAUUUUUUCUUUCUGCAGAACACCAAGCUCUGUUCUGAAAUGUAUGUAUUUUAUGCUCUACUGAGAUCUUGUCUGUGACAAAUGCCAGCUGACAAAUUCCACGUUCAGCACUUGGGAUGCACGUGGCAGGAUGGGGACUGUGAGAAGAGGAGAUUUUCUCUUCGGUGGCAUUAAUUACAGGUCGAUCUUCUCCCAUUCUGCAUGCUGUGCAUGGAGGAGAAAAUCUGGCCGAUCUUGCUUAACUAAAUCACAACUUGGACCAUAGGCCUGGAAUCAGGAUCCAUUUGGAUGCUUUAACCUCCAGUGAAUAGCGAAUAGAAUAUGCUGAUGUUAUGCAGUGCAAAAUAAAACAAUAUGUGUAAUGAGCUGAUUUAAAAUG
rnacentral:lncRNA from 1 species